rnacentral:lncRNA from 10 species
UCUCUCUGCUGCCCAGGCUGGAGUGCAGUGGGAUGAUCUCGGCUCAUUGAAACCUCCACCUCCAGGUUCAAGCGAUACUCCUGCCUCAGGCUCCCGAGUAGCUGGGACUACAAGUGUGCACCACGAUGCCCAGUUUGUCAAGGAUGUCUGUUCUGUAAGUCAAGGGAAUUUUCUGAAUGAAUAUUCAACUGAAAAUAUUUAAAUAGAAAAGAAGAUGAGUAUGCUGUGUGUGUAUGUACGAGGAGAUGCAGAGUGACACGAAGUAACAAGUAAAGAACAAUAUGAGAAGAGAGACCACUGAAGAAUGAAAAAACUUUGUAUUUUAUCUUUUUAACAGCACAUUUUUUUCAUGCUAUUUGAACAAGGGGCUGCACAUGAUAAUUUUGCCCUGGGCCCUGCAAUUUGGACUACUAGCCCUGAUUUGGGGGGACAUUUUUGUAAACUUAACAGUCUAUUUCCAUAGGCCUUAUAAAUUCUGUGAAGUACCUAAAAUUCCUUUAUUAAUCCCUUUCAUUUAAAAAUAAAUAGAGUGACAUCACUUGUUUUGGCAGCUAAGAACUCUCAUUGCAUAUAUAAAGUAAAAUACAAAUCUGGUAUAUAAAUAUCUAUUUUAAACUGUAUGAGUAUGAGAGAAUUUUGGAAAAAAUGAUAUAAAAUGUUCAGUGUUGGUGUUAUAUAAAAUGAAAGGAUCAUAUUUUAGUUACUAAUUAAAUUGGUUUUUAUUUUUUCACCCCUCAUUAUAGCACUUUAACAUCAAUAUAACUUCAGCUAAACAUUCAAAAGAUCCACAAUUAUAAUUUUAACAACAUAUAAGUACAUUGCAAAUAUAAAUUUCUCUUACUGAAGGCUUCUAUAAAAGUGCUAAUUUCUAAAUCAAUUAUGUCAUCUUUCUCUCUUUUAAACUUCCCACUAUGGAAUGCAAAUAUUGAAUAAUGUUCUAUUAUUAAAAAUGUUAGCACAAUAGGUUCAUGAUGCUUUAUCAUUUGUUGCUUUUAAUAAUAUGAUGGCAUUAUCUUUAUGUAUAAAAAUUAAAAGGGAAAUUCUAAGAAAAUAAUUAACAUUUCAACUUUGACAAAACUAUGCAUUAUAUUUAUCUCAUUUUUCUGCAAAUCUUUAAAAGGCACUAUUCUCUGAUAACAUUUCUCCAGCGAUACCUAUAGAUUUGAGAGAAAAAAACUCACACAAAUUCUUUUUACAAAGCUAUUCUCAGAUAAUUAAUUAUAUUAUCUGGUACUAAUUGGUAGAGAUUGAAAGUAUUUAAUAGCAGAAUCUAACAAAUGACCAAAACGCAGACAAUUUGACUGGUCUCAUAUCUAUAUCUUGC